rnacentral:rRNA from 1 species
UACGUAGGGGGCAAGCGUUGUCCGGAAUCAUUGGGCGUAAAGCGCGUGUAGGCGGCUCGGCACGUCUGGUGUGAAAUCCUGCGGCUCAACCGCAGACUGUCACUGGAUACUGUCGAGCUUGAGUCCGGAAGAGGAGAGUGGAAUUCCUGGUGUAGCGGUGGAAUGCGCAGAUAUCAGGAGGAACACCGGUGGCGAAGGCGGGUCUCUGGGCAGUAACUGACGCUGAGGAGCGAAAGCGUGGGGAGCGAACAGG